rnacentral:lncRNA from 1 species
CCUAAUUUUUCAAUUUUUUGGUGGAGAUAGGGUUUCACCAUGUUGGCCAGGCUGGAGUUUUGCCUGUUCUAGAAGCUUGUAUCAGUCAUACAACACCCCUUUGAGGAACCGUUUGAGGUGUGGCACGAUACAGCAAGUCAGCUGCCAAAGAGGGGCUUAGCCACAGGAAGUGCGUGCCCAGAACGGUAAAGGGGCUGUGGCCUUUCUUAUCAUCUCCACUCCCUGUCCCCCCCAUCACCUGCUCUUCGUGCUUUGUGAUAAUUCAGUGAGCUCAUACUCAUGACCUGUGUCCUCCAGCAUCUCCCGUGUCCCUCACAGCAGUUCUAUGAGGCUGGCUGCCCUGUUUGACAACUGAGGCCCGCAUCUUCCCCGGAAUCACCGACGUGUGGCUCUGAGCCCUGUCCCAGGGAUUUUCUCCAUCAGAGAAGAGGAGCACUUUGAGCUUUGAGAGGAGCAGCCCUCUGCAAGUGAAGUGGAAAAAAAGGAAGCAGGCGAGGAGGCCCAUCCAGACCCUCCCCCAAGACCCUUGCUGAAAUGGCUGGGAUGCGGCGUGCAGAAGCUCUCCUUUCCUUCACAGCCCCUGGCUUUCCAAGAGUCCCUGCCCACCCAGAUGCCCGCUGGCAGAUGCAGCCUCAUCUCAAGGACACUGCUUGCUGGAUAAAUCCCUCACCACCCUAGAGACAGCCCACGGUCCUGAGACAAGGAUGCGGGCCAGGCUUGUUGCACGUAAGCGCCUCCCGCAGAAACCAGUGAGGCCGGAGUUCCAGAGGAAAUGAUGUAGGGACAGAGGCAGAGGGCCUCCAGGAGGCACCAGCCCCAGAGUCUUCCCUAGAAUCAGACUUUAAGCACAAGCAGGGAGGGAAAGCACUUGAGCAGUGCCCGUCCCUGCAUACCUGGCCUCUGCUGGAACCCAUGCAGGGACAGGACACUUCUUUAUCAGCAAUCCUGUUCCUCUCCUGGGCAGCUUCAACCUGAACAUCCUCCUUCACCUUGAGCUAAAAUGGGUUUCUUGUCACCCUUGCCCAUCAAACCUGGCCUUGCCCUCAGGAACCACACAGGACAAGCCUAAUACUUCCUUCUUGUGGCAACACUUUAGCAAUUGAGACCUGGCUGUCAGGUCCUCCAAAUAAACAUUUGUGACUGUGAUGUUGACUUGCCGCUUCUGGGGACCUCUUCUCAUUUGAUCGGAGAA